AUUGAACGCUGGCGGCAGGCCUAACACAUGCAAGUCGAGCGAGCGGAGGACGGGUGAGUAAUGUAUGGGGACUGCCCGUGAGGGGGGGAUAAGUACUGGAAACGGUAUCUAAUACCGCACACUAGCGGAUAAGCCAUAUGGGAUUAGAUAGUAGGUGAGGUAAUGGCUCACCUAGGCGACGAACCCCAGCUGGUCUUAGAGGAUGAUACGCCACACUGGGACUUAGACACGGCCCAGACUCCUACGGAGGCAGCAGUGGAGAAUAUUGCACAAUGGGCGCAAGCCUGAUGCAGCCAUGCCGCGUGUAUGAAGAAGGCCCUAGGGGUGUAAAGUACUUUCAGUCGGGAGGCGUUACCGACAGAAGAAGCACCGGCUAACUCCGUGCCAGCAGCCGCGGUAAUUC
rnacentral:rRNA from 1 species